rnacentral:rRNA from 1 species
UGAGGAAUAUUGGACAAUGGGCGCAAGCCUGAUCCAGCCAUGCCGCGUGCAGGAUGAAGGCCUUCGGGUUGUAAACUGCUUUUGUACGGAACGAAAAGUCUCUUUCUAAUAAAGAGGGAUCAUGACGGUACCGUAAGAAUAAGCACCGGCUAACUACGUGCCAGCAGCCGCGGUAAUGCGUAGGGUGCGAGCGUUAAUCGGAAUUACUGGGCGUAAAGCGUGCGCAGGCGGUUUUGUAAGACAGAGGUGAAAUCCCCGGGCUCAACCUGGGAAUUGCCUUUGUGACUGCAAGGCUUGAGUGCGGCAGAGGGGGACGGAAUUCCGCGUGUAGCAGUGAAAUGCGUAGAUAUGCGGAGGAACACCGAUGGCGAAGGCAAUCCCCUGGGCCUGCACUGACGCUCAUGCACGAAAGCGUGGGGAGCAAACA